GGGCCCGCACAAGCGGCGGAGCAUGUGGAUUAAUUCGAUGCAACGCGAAGAACCUUACCUGGGUUUGACAUACACCGGACGACUGCAGAGAUGUGGUUUCCCUUGUGGUCGGUGUACAGGUGGUGCAUGGCUGUCGUCAGCUCGUGUCGUGAGAUGUUGGGUUAAGUCCCGCAACGAGCGCAACCCUUGUCCUGUGUUGCCAGCACGUAAUGGUGGGGACUCGCAGGAGACUGCCGGGGUCAACUCGGAGGAAGGUGGGGACGACGUCAAGUCAUCAUGCCCCUUAUGUCCAGGGCUUCACACAUGCUACAAUGGCCGGUACAGAGGGCUGCGAGACCGUGAGGUGGAGCGAAUCCCUUGAAAGCCGGUCUCAGUUCGGAUCGGGGUCUGCAACUCGACCCCGUGAAGUUGGAGUCGCUAGUAAUCGCAGAUCAGCAACGCUGCGGUGAAUACGUUCCCGGGCCUU
rnacentral:rRNA from 1 species